GAUGCCUGAUCUCAUCAAUCUAGCGGGAGAGACAGGAUAACCUGUCCGAGAGUAUAGCGCCACUAUGACUCCGCCGGAAAAAUUACUUUAAAAAUCGCCAAAAAUUACUUGGAGCAAAGGGCAGUCGGCGGAGCUUCGCCAAGGCUGGCGCAGUCGGUUUUGACCUGUAGCAGAGAACCAAUUCUGGAGAACAGCCUCACUUCUUUGAUUGAAUACUUACAUAAUGCAUUGGAACAUGACAUGAGAUUAAGGUUUAAUAAUGAUAGAAUGAAGACCACAAUAAAAGAGACCUCUACUUAGCUCAGCAAUUCUUACCUUUCUUACCUAUUUGAUGAAGAUGUCUUUUGAAAGGUGUACUGCAAGGAACAAAAUGUUUGUAAAUUCUCCUUUUACCAAGGUGGAUAAUUACUGUACCUUCCUCAUGGAAAAAGUUUUAUUUAAAGUGUUAUUUCUCAUUGAAUACUAUCAAAAAGGAAAAAAAAAUGACCUAAACUUUUGAGAUAGAUUUGGCUCUAGUAAGUAUUUAGUUAUAUCACUUGCAUAUCUGGGAGAAGAAAUAAGAGACUAUCAUCAGUACAUUCCCAUCUACUAAAAAAAUUUAUUUUACACAUGUCAAGGGAUUACUUAUAACUUCCAUUUUAUUACUAAUAGCUUGAACCCUUUUAAUGAAGACCUAACUCCUCCACCAGAAAUUUAAGUUUAUGUUCUUACUUUGUUUACUUAUAAAAUACAUCUCAGGUAUUUCGGAUGUCUUUUUUUUUUCUAAGCCUAUAUGAAAUGAAAAAUAUAUUGGCAAAAUAAAUGUUUAAACCUUUUACGUUAAAAUUACUUUGAAAGAUGAAAAGUUAGUGCUGUUUUUGUCUACGUUAUACUGAAAUUAAAUGUUUAUAAUUUAUAUUUUGGGUUUAUGUAUAAAUCAUGGAAUUUAUGCAAAAAUAUGAGUAGUACAGAUUCUCCUCUAAUUCUGUAGGACUUUGAAUAAUGUGAUAUUUUUCUUAUAAUUGGACCCUUGUGUUUUGAAGAAAUGCCAACUGCUUGAAGAAUCUCCUUGUUAUUUGUAUUAUUUGCUAUAGGGUUAGAUGUUGAGAAAUUCUGCUGACAAAAAAUUUUAAGCCAGUUUUACACUAAAUGUUCCUCAGUCUGAUUAAUUUGUUAUUGGAUGUAUUCUGUAUCUUUCUUUUGUAAUUUGUAACUUUUAUCCACUUAGCACGAAUGAUUCUAUUAAAGAAAAUCAUUAGGAAGUGGUAGAAACUUUAAAUCGCCCCAGAGUUUGCCUGUUUCCAUAUUUUAUUAUCUUAUAAUCUUCGGGAGUGCUUACACUUAUGGAGCUAACAUUUUCAGAGAUACAGCUUCUUAUAGUAACACUAAAACUUUCUUCCUCUUUGGACUGAAUACCUAUAAUUAUAACUAUAUGGUAGUUUAAGUUUCCUUGUGAUUAGUCAAAAAUACCAUUUUAGUAUGAAGCAAUGAAGUCUAUUAUUUGUUGUCCCAUAAUUGAGAAAGCUUAAAUACACCUUUUAUUAAGAGUUUGUAAAUUCUAGCUUAGUCUACACAGAUUUUUAUAUCAAUUUGUUUAUAUUUUUAUUAAUGUCAUUUCUGGAAGUGUGAAAAUGUUAAUGUUCAACAAGCAACAUUAAAAAUAGAUUUGAAACAUUUA
rnacentral:lncRNA from 10 species